rnacentral:rRNA from 1 species
AAUGAACGCUGGCGGCGUGCUUAACACAUGCAAGUCGUGCGCGAUGGUGGCUUCGGCUGCCGGAGAGCGGCGAACGGGUGAGUAACACGUGGGCAAUCUGCCUGGGGGUGUGGGAUAACCUGGGGAAACGUCGGCUAAUACCGCAUACGUUGUCGGGACCUUGGUCCUGCCAAGAAAGCUGGCCUCUGUUUACAAGCUAGCGCUCCCAGAGGAGCCCGCGCCUGAUAGCUAGUUGGUGAGGUAAUGGCUCACCAAGGCGGCGAUCAGUAGCCGGCCUGAGAGGACGAUCAGCCACACUGGGACUGAGACACGGCCCAGACUCCUACGGGAGGCAGCAGUGGGGAAUCUUGCGCAAUGGGCGAAAGCCUGACGCAGCAACGCCGCGUGAGGGAAGAAGGCUUUCGGG